CCUACGGGGGGCAGCAGUGGGGAAUAUUGCACAAUGGGCGCAAGCCUGAUGCAGCCAUGCCGCGUGUGUGAAGAAGGCCUUCGGGUUGUAAAGCACUUUCAGCGGGGAGGAAGGCGUUAAGGUUAAUAACCUUGGCGAUUGACGUUACCCGCAGAAGAAGCACCGGCUAACUCCGUGCCAGCAGCCGCGGUAAUACGGAGGGUGCAAGCGUUAAUCGGAAUUACUGGGCGCAAAGCGCACGCAGGCGGUCUGUCAAGUCGGAUGUGAAAUCCCCGGGCUCAACCUGGGAACUGCAUUCGAAACGGGCAGGCUAGAGUCUUGUAGAGGGGGGUAGAAUUCCAGGUGUAGCGGUGAAAUGCGUAGAGAUCUGGAGGAAUACCGGUGGCGAAGGCGGCCCCCUGGACAAAGACUGACGCUCAGGUGCGAAAGCGUGGGGAGCAAACAGGAUUAGAUACCCUAGUAGUC
rnacentral:rRNA from 1 species